AGAAAUCCCAGGGUCGACCGAUGACGACCAGUGAGUAUUAGACACAGCAGAUCAGAUUCGCCUGCGGGCGAUUGAGGCCAUAAAUAUCCUCCUCGGAUAGUUGUACUGAACUUAAAUGGCAUUUUGAAUGCCUUUUAUAACAUUGGCACUUCUCAACGUUUCCAUCUUAAAUGCGAAUCUGAACGGCUUUCUCCGCAGCUUUUGACUCAACGGUCGCUUGCUUUAAAUCCCUUCUUUUACUAACCAUUGCCCGUCAUCCUCCCGUUCUAUAAAUACGAGACAUUCGCAUCCUCUCUAGAGGCAUUCGCACAGCACCCAUUAGAUUCGCCCCUUGUAGGCGUUCCCAAAUCCACAAUCAGGCACCCAAAUGGCUUCUUCCUCCUCCGUCAAUCAGGUACGAAGUUAACUCUUUCACUCUUCGACUGGUUCUUUCUGUUAAUCGGUUGUCCAUUAUCCUUUCAGCCGAACCGGCUUAGCCCCGGUCUCGUACGAGCCAUUGAGAUCAUGCAUUCCGAUGAACCACUAACCCAGGU
rnacentral:lncRNA from 1 species